CCUACGGGAGGCAGCAGUGAGGAAUAUUGGUCAAUGGGCGGGAGCCUGAACCAGCCAAGCCGCGUGAGGGAAGAAGGUACAGCGUAUCGUAAACCUCUUUUGUCAGGGAACAAAGGCGGGGACUAGUCCCCGGAUGAGGGUACCUGAAGAAAAAGCAUCGGCUAACUCCGUGCCAGCAGCCGCGGUAAUACGGAGGAUGCGAGCGUUAUCCGGAUUUAUUGGGGUGAAAGGGUGCGCAGGCGGCCUGUUAAGUCAGCGGUAAAAGCCCGGGGCUCAACCCCGGCGAGCCGUUAAGACUGGCGGGCUUGAGUUGGAGAGAAGUACGCGGAAUGCGCGGUGUAGCGGUGAAAUGCUUAGAUAUCGCGCAGAACCCCGAUUGCGAAGGCAGCGUACCGGCUCCACACUGACGCUGAGGCACGAAAGCGUGGGUAUCGAACAGGAUUAGAUACCCCAGUAGUC
rnacentral:rRNA from 1 species